rnacentral:rRNA from 1 species
GACGUAGGUGGCAAGCGUUGUCCGGAUUUAUUGGGCUUAAAGGGUGCGUAGGCGGCCCUGUAAGUCAGUGGUGAAAUACCCCGGCUUAACCGGGGGGGUGGCAUUGAUACUGCAGGGCUUGAGUACAGAUGAGGUAGGCGGAAUUGACGGUGUAGCGGUGAAAUGCAUAGAUAUCGUCAAGAACACCGAUAGCGAAGGCAGCUUACUGGGCUGUAACUGACGCUGAUGCACGAAAGUGUGGGGAUCAAACAGG